UGGCACAGUGGUUAAGUGCUUGGCUGCUAACCAGAAGGUUGGUGGUUCAAACCCACC
rnacentral:tRNA from 1 species